UUUCCGGUAGCAGUGACGCAAGCACGCAAAGGAAAAAAGAAGUGCUUUCGUAUUCGCUUUAGUUGACGUAGGCGCUGAAACUCUCCGAAUUCAGAUGGAUUGCGCGACUACCAGUACUUGACUCAUCGUAAAGUCGUUAAACUGAUCGCGUUAAACCAGAAUACUAAUAACAGCACGUGAUGGCGUGGUAAUGAACCCGUUUAGGGCAGCCACCUCCGAUAUGCCAUGGCUGUUUACUUUUGAGUGACGGGUUCUCUCGAGUGGCAAACAAAAGUCUAACUUAUCGAGAACUCCAGGAAGCAGUAACAGACAACGACCGUUGAGUUCUGCAAUCUCGAGGAGUUUCUAAUUUUUGCCCCUCUACCAGAGAACUACGCCACCGACCUGAAGGGAGCACACUCAAGAUAAAAAGAAACAGUACUGCUGGAUGAAACUUCAACUUAGAAGCUGUUUCCAGGCACAGUGAGAAUAAAGCUUAUUUCAAAAUGUGC